rnacentral:rRNA from 1 species
AAUGAACGCUGGCGGCGUGGAUUAGGCAUGCAAGUCCAGGGGGAAAAUUCCCUUCGGGGGAUGAGUACACCGGCGAACUGGUUAGUAACAGGUGGGGAACGUGCCCCGAGGCCGGGGAUAACCGUCUGGAAACAGCGGCUAAGACCCCGAUUCGGCCCGGCAGUCUUCGGAUAGCCGGGCGCCAAAGGCGCUCCUUCGGGAGUGCCGUCCGCGGGAUCGCCCCGCCCCCGAUUAGCUAGAUGGCGAGGUAACGGCUCACCAUGGCUGCGAUCGGUAGCUGGUCUGAGAGGACGGUACAGCAACACUGGGACUGAGAUACGGCCCAGACUCCUACGGGAGGCAGCAGUCUAGAAGCUUCCGCAAUGGGCGAAAGCCUGACGGAGCGACGCCGCGUGCGCGAAGAAGGCC